rnacentral:rRNA from 1 species
CCGCGGGCUGGCUGCACGUAGAGUUUGAUCCUGGCUCAGGACGAACGCUGGCGGCGUGCCUAAUACAUGCAAGUCGAGCGGACAGAUGGGAGCUUGCUCCCUGAUGUUAGCGGCGGACGGGUGAGUAACACGUGGGUAACCUGCCUGUAAGACUGGGAUAACUCCGGGAAACCGGGGCUAAUACCGGAUGCUUGUUUGAACCGCAUGGUUCAAACAUAAAAGGUGGCUUCGGCUACCACUUACAGAUGGACCCGCGGCGCAUUAGCUAGUUGGUGAGGUAAUGGCUCACCAAGGCAACGAUGCGUAGCCGACCUGAGAGGGUGAUCGGCCACACUGGGACUGAGACACGGCCCAGACUCCUACGGGAGGCAGCAGUAGGGAAUCUUCCGCAAUGGACGAAAGUCUGACGGAGCAACGCCGCGUGAGUGAUGAAGGUUUUCGGAUCGUAAAGCUCUGUUGUUAGGGAAGAACAAGUGCCGUUCAAAUAGGCGCAACUGACAGACCAACCAGUGAGC